GAAGAGUUUGAUCAUGGCUCAGAUUGAACGCUGGCGGCAGGCCUAACACAUGCAAGUCGAACGGUAACAGGAAGCAGCUUGCUGCUUUGCUGACGAGUGGCGGACGGGUGAGUAAUGUCUGGGAAACUGCCUGAUGGAGGGGGAUAACUACUGGAAACGGUGGCUAAUACCGCAUAACGUCGCAAGACCAAAGAGGGGGACCUUCGGGCCUCUUGCCAUCAGAUGUGCCCAGAUGGGAUUAGCUUGUUGGUGAGGUAACGGCUCACCAAGGCGACGAUCCCUAGCUGGUCUGAGAGGAUGACCAGCCACACUGGAACUGAGACACGGUCCAGACUCCUACGGGAGGCAGCAGUGGGGAAUAUUGCACAAUGGGCGCAAGCCUGAUGCAGCCAUGCCGCGUGUAUGAAGAAGGCCUUCGGGUUGUAAAGUACUUUCAGCGGGGAGGAAGGUGUUGUGGUUAAUAACCGCAGCAAUUGACGUUACCCGCAGAAGAAGCACCGGCUAACUCCGUGCCAGCAGCCGCGGUAAUACGGAGGGUGCAAGCGUUAAUCGGAAUUACUGGGCGUAAAGCGCACGCAGGCGGUCUGUCAAGUCGGAUGUGAAAUCCCCGGGCUCAACCUGGGAACUGCAUUCGAAACUGGCAGGCUUGAGUCUUGUAGAGGGGGGUAGAAUUCCAGGUGUAGCGGUGAAAUGCGUAGAGAUCUGGAGGAA
rnacentral:rRNA from 1 species